GGGGGGGGGGUGAAAGUUCAAAAAGUUCAAGAAGACAGAGGAUGGCUGCGCAGCUGACGGUGCGUAAACACUCCCCACACCACUGCGACGGGAGGCGGAGCAUGUUUGGAUGUUAAACGACAACAGAAAAAUAAAAUCAUCGUUAGAAAAAUGGAGUUUUUGAAUCUUUCCCAUUGAGAAAAAAAAAAUCGAAUGGAGCGAGAGCGAGAGGGGGGGUUACAGAGGGCGGGUGGGGGUACAGAGAGAGAGGAGGAGGUGAGGAGAGUGGAAGGUGCCCCCAACACUAUGGCACACAAUCAAUGAAGUCCAACAGGCUGAAGAGAUGACAGAAUUAAGAAAGAAGCUGCAUGAGCUUUUUUUUUUUUUUUUUUUUUUUAGGUGGAGAGGCAGGACAGGAGCAGCCAACCUGCAGAAGGGUUAAUCCUUGUCUGUGGGGGGGUGGUGAGGAGGAGGAGGAGGAGAAGGUGGUGGUGGUGGUGGGGGGGCAAGGUGCUGCUCAGUUGAGGCGUCAUGAGCGACAUCAUGUUAUAUGAGGGCGGAGCAUGCUGGCUUCAUGGGUGCUUCCAGGAUGGAUGUCCGACACAACAAGAACAACUCAAAGAAACGCUUGGAAUGGUCACUGUUGUUGUCUUUUUUUUAAUCUUUUUUUUUUCUCUCUCUGUUCUAGUUUGGCACUCGAGAAAAGAGAAUCAUGGAGGGGGGGAGGAGGAGGAGGAAAGUGUGUGCAUGUUUUGGGCGAGGAGGAGGAGGAGGAGUGGGCAGUGAAAAGUGCACAAAAAAGAGAGCAUGGAGUGUGUGUUUUCAUGUGUGUGUGUGCAGAAAAAAAAAGGGGUAAACAAAGCUACACACAGAAAAAUGGCAUCUUGUUAAAAACUGGUUUGGGUUAGACCGUACAGUUCAAAUCAAAACCAGGAAAACAAACGAAGAAAUCAACAGAGCGAAGGAGAGGAAACAGAAAAACAGUGAUAUGACAAAUGCAGUCUACAGUUGCUGGUGCUUCGAUGGGGCCCCGAGGCUGGGACAGGAGGGGGAGGGGGGACAGCGUGGUGGGUGUGGGUGAGAGUGGGUUUGUGGAGGUAGGUGAAGGAGGAGGGGGCGGGGCACAGAAGAGAUACUGAAGAGCCACACACCCACUGAGAGGUCACCUGGCGAGCAGGUAGAAGUGGCGUCUCACUGCGCUGUGACUCUGCGGAGUGUCACGCUUCUUUGUCACUCAGAAUAAUAAUAAAAAAUACAUUUUGGAAAACUGGUCCAAAAGCGUACUUCAGCAGAUUAAAUCCCAACACGACUGCAAAGGUGGGUACAAAAACGAGCCGAGGUAGAAAACAAACAAACAAAAAUAAUAAUAAUAAUGUGCGCAGCCACCAAUGCAAUCCUGCACAGGUGAGCGCCGCAGCUCCCGGCCGGUCGCAGAUCAGUGAGACGCCACGAGGGUUCGACUUCCUCUGAACAUCACAGUCAAAUCAAAAGAACCAUCAUAGAAAAAAAACAAAAUGUUUCAAUGAAAACACCACGAGCACCAAGCCAAGUCUAAAGCAGACGAACCCGGAGAGGAGCAUGCACAUCGAAAACACCACGAAGAGGCUGCGCAGCUUCAGUGGUCUCGCACGCCGACGCCCCCCACGACCCCAGCUCGACCUGCCAUGCACAACAUCAGCAGAGAGUUUAGUGCAAAUGUGUCCCACGAAAUGACGUGAAGUCUGAUGGACUGAUGUUUGAUCGGUGACGAUGAGCCGAGACUGAGUUUGGCAGGUUCUGCCUCUUUCUCACACAAGUGGGCGGAGCCUGACUCCCUGUUAGGGUGGAUAAGGUGCGCAUAAGAGACAAGACAAGCUCAGAGCCUGGGGGGCGGGGCAGAAAAGCACACACAGCGGAGUGUGUGGAUGUGUUAGUAAUGUUAGAGUACCUACAAAAAAACACAUGGAAACUUUGAGCGGACACCCGUCAGAAGAAUGAAAUGCAAACUAAUGAAACGAUGAGUACAUUCACAGACAAUCUCCAUCUACAUAUAAAAUCAAAUCCUGGCUUAGUUUUUUUUUUUUUUGUAUCUUUGCUUUAAAACGCAACUUUGAAACGUUUUUUUUGUCCAAGCUGGCUCGACACGUAAAAAUAACAAAAAUUAAAUUGUUCUUCGAGGAAGUCAGCGAAACCACAAACGACGCCGCGGAAAACAAACGCGACGGCGAGGAAUAACAGCGAACACUCGACGGCGUGAAAAACAAUAUCACAAUGCUCGACCCUUAUCGGCAUGCAGAGAUUUGUUUCAGAAAAAUGAACACACAAUGCCUUUUGUUUUUUUUAAACGUAUUCUUUUUUCUCUUUUUUUUGUCCACGCUUCACUUUGAUAUCAUGCAAUAUAGACGUGCAAAAAAGAUAACAUCUAUUUCCACAAAAUACAUUUUUAUUGUAACUAUAAAAGGCUGUAUUUAAGAAUGCUAUCUAGUCACAUUUUUAUUUUAGCAUGGUUAUGCUAACCUACCACUACAGCGAUGAGUCGUAGUGCUGUUGCAUUCUGGGAGCUGGCUCUCCCAGAGGACUGGCUGACACUAACAUGGCGGCCCCUCCUCUAGACGCGGGGCUGGAGCAGAAAAAUACUGAGCAGCUUCACCCGUCCCAUCAACGCACUUAGAAAUAUGGUUCAUUUGGCACUUUUCACAUUUUCUUCAUAUAAAAGUAGGUUUUCUCCUGUCGUCUAAUGUGGCUUGAAAGAACACAUUUAGAGUUUUAACUCUGUUUUGGCACAGGUUUCAUUUCUUCAGAUUAAAAUCCACUCUUUUUUUAAUGUUUACUUAAAACAGAGCAAAUAUUACACUUUAAACUGCCACUUGAGACUAGCUUAUCCAGCUAACGGACAGGUUUCGAUAUGUUUUCAACUCGUUUUUUUUAGUACAUCAGUAUUAUUAAAUAGCAGCAUUUUCCACAAAUUCCAAAAAAAAAGAUGUAAUCGUGUAUCAGCUCCUACAGGUGAAUCUAAAAGCUCCUACGGCAGACAGAGGAUAGAGACAGGACGACACAACAUGCCUCUACACGUAUUGCUUCCAGUACUUGUCACAUUUUUAGUUCAAUCUAACAUUAAAAGAAGUAAAGAGAGUGGCUGCUGGGUAAAAGAUAGUUUCAGAGAAAUGAUGUGGAAAAACUAAACCUGCCCGGCGUUAGUUAAAGUUUCUACCAACAUAUACGGUGCUGCAUGCACGUCUUUGCUUUCUGCAGGGAAAAACCUGACAGAAACUUGUAAAAAUAUACAUAUUUUUGAUGCACUGAUAUUUAAAUUGAUCAUAUUUUGGCUGCGUAAUUAUAUAAACCAGUAAAAAAAGCAUGUUUCAGAUUUAUAAUUUGUCACACUUGUAGUAAAACAGACUCAGGAAGCUCAUUUUUAUGCAGAUAUUUGACAUGUUUGCUGGACAGAUGAUAAACUAGUGAUUAAUCGUGAAUGCAUGCAGCAAAGUAUACUGUGUGAAGGUUAGAACAGAAGCAAACUACCUGAUUACGUUUCCCACUAAAUCCAGUCAAAUCCUGUCAGACUUGAUGUGUGUUUGUGCAAAUCAAUGCUUGUGAAAGUAAAGUCUGAGCUACAGAUGAGGGGUGUUUUUGCGCCCUGCAGCCUGCUGGCCGCCGCUUCCUCUGCAGGCGUAGAGGCUCCGCCCCUGCCGAGGGGAGAGCCUGACAUGCAUCGACCGUAACACCAGACAGAGUCACCCAUGGAGCGAUGUGUUAGGUGGGAGAGGGGGGUGUCGGGAUGGGAGUGCGCUGGAGAAACUGAGGACGGUGGGAGGGUGAGGAGAGUGUGGAUGGUGUUAGAUGGGAGUAAAGAAGCCUCCUUACCGAGCUGCGGAGAUAAAACCCCCUCACUGGCACUCCAACCCAGAACGACACAACCCAGUUAGGGUCGGACUGAUCGCUGAAGAUUAAAAAAUAAUCUCUUUUUUUGUAUUUUAAAGAGGAAUGGAGACCCCUCCCCUCACCAGGAUCAAUUUAAAAUCACCCCCCCUCCUCAGUUUCAUCUAAACUCACAUUAAACUGCACAGGUUGAUGAAAGAGACAGAGCUGAACCUGAACUCCAAACCGGUCUGAAGCUCAAUUGAUUGAUCCUCUUCAUUGACCUAAUCUCCUCUCCUUCCAUAUUUAGAUAUGACAUGCUUCCCAGUAAAGUUCUUCAUAUGCAUCCUACAUAUAUUUCAUAUAUGUGUUGGUUUUUGUUUUGUUUUUUUUAUCCCUGCCAUACAAAAACAAAUUAUCCAGUCACGAUCUACAUCCCUGACCUCGCAGGUCCAUAAAACUGCUUUCCAGCUUCACAGUGCAUUAAGACAAAAAAAAAUAAAAUAAAGAAUAAAAAAAUUCAGUGUACUCCGAUUAUUAAAACAAACACAAAAAACAUAAAUAAGAUCAAUAACAACAACAAAAAUAAAAACAGCAUCUUCAGCAGCCUUGUGGGUGGGCAGUAAACCUCUGCUCCCUGGAUGAAAACGUGUCACCUGCUCUUCACCUGGUGUCACCUGGACGGUUCUUAGAGAUAUGCAGCGCUGCCAGACAGGCUUCAGCAGUGGACCCCAGACAAACGACGCUUUAUUGCCCCCCCUCCCUUUUUAAAAUUUUUUUUUUAAUCAAGGUCGGCGUCUCUCAGUAGUUUUAAUCACAAGUGCUGGAUCUGCUCUGUGGCUCGGGACCAUCUGAGGCUGAGCAGCAGAGAACUGGUCUCAGCUCCUCAGCUCCUCUCAGUUAUUCAUUUCUGCUGCAGUUUUAUGCAGCGGGGCUUUGUACUCCAAACACAGACAGCAGGGAUAUGCUGCAGAAUGAGGUGUAAUAAUCAGGUAUCUCUGGUUAGUAUAGCUGCACUGCUGUCUGGACUGGGACUGGUUUCACAUACGUUUUUUGCUAAAUUAAAAGUCUGCAUUAUAGAUAUGAGCAAUUUGCCUUUGUAGCACCAAAUAUGGCAUUUUUUAGUUUCUAUGUGUGUGUGUGUGUGUGUGUGUGUGUGUGUGUGUGUGUGUGUGUUUGUGUGUGUGUUUGCGUGUGUGCAAACGAAGAAACGUUCACCCUCCCCCACCCCCCACCCCCCUCGGCCCUGUCACGAGGAGCGAAGGGGAGCUCUGGGGGAUGGAGUCGGGACGUUUCUUCCUCAUUGCAAAGUUUUCGUUAAAAGGGGGCGGGGCAAAAAAAAUCGUGUGAGGAGGGGUUUUGAGAGAGGCGGGGCAAAUCGAUUUGAAAAACAAAAGCCCUGCUGUAGAUGUGGGCUGAAGGGGGGGAGGGGGGGUAAGGGUUGUUUCCUUACAGGAUCUUGGAAGUGAGGGGGGGUGGAGGGUUGUACCCUGUAGAAACACCAACCCUCCCCCUCUCUGCGCCCCUCCCCCCCCGGCUGCAGGCUCGGUGGGCCUGCCUACAUGGCAUUCAGCUCUGUCCACACGACACACGAACAGACGACUUAAUUUACUGAACGAAACGAAACAAACAAUAAAACAAAACAAUAAAAAUCC